UUGUUGAAGUAGCUGGAAUAAGUAGUGUAGCGGUGAAAUGCAUAGAUAUUACUUAGAACACCAAUUGCGAAGGCAGGUUANUAAGCAACAACUGACGCUGAUGGACGAAAGCGUGGGGAGCGAACAGGAUUAGAUACCCUGGUAGUCCACGCCGUAAACGAUGCUAACUUGUUUUUGGGUUUUCGGAUUCAGAGAUUAAGCGAAAGUGAUAAGUUAGCCACCUGGGGAGUACGUUCGCAAGAAUGAAACUCAAAGGAAUUGACGGGGGCCCGCACAAGCGGUGGAUUAUGUGGUUUAAUUCGAUGAUACGCGAGGAACCUUCCCAAGGCUUAAAUGGGAAAUGACCGGUUUAGAAAUAGACCUUUCGCAAGACAUUUUUCAAGGUGCUGCAUGGUUGUCGUCAGCUCGUGCCGUGAGGUGUUAGGUUAAGUCCUGCAACGAGCGCAACCCCUGUCACUAGUUGCCAUCAUUCAGUUGGGGACUCUAGUGAGACUGCCUACGCAAGUAGAGAGGAAGGUGGGGAUGACGUCAAAUCAUCACGGCCCUUACGCCUUGGGCCACACACGUAAUCCAAUGGCCGGUACAGAGGGCAGCUACACAGCGAUGUGAUGCAAAUCUCGAAACCCGGUCUCAGUCCGGAUUGGAGUCU
rnacentral:rRNA from 1 species